rnacentral:lncRNA from 1 species
CUUGCAUCUCCAAGAAAAGAUUUGUGAGUCUUUGAGGAAGGGAGUUAUUUGUUUUGCUUUCCUGUUACAGAUGUCUCCCGUCCUGACACAUCCGGAGAGUCUUUUAGCUUUUAGUGGCUCUCAAUCCCGCUUCCCAUCAUUUAAUCAGUGAUCAACUGAACACACCUGAUGUAGUCAAUCAAGAGCACGCUAAUUAGAGUAACUUUAAAUGAGCCUUGGGGUAGGUAAAAGACUUGCAGGGCAGACAUAGAGCAAGUCAGGUCAGGUCAACUCUAGCUCUUAGAGUGUCGUAUGAACCGGGGAAUGAGGUUUCGGUUCUCAAGAUCUACAAUUCCAAGCUGUAGCCAUAGAGAUAAAGGAAGGUCGCCACCCUCUUUAUUUGGGCCUGUGAGCUGA